GGAGAGUAUGAAUGUAAGACCAGACGCAGAGAUGACUUCUAUUCUUCAACCACAUGGAGUGAAGCCUUCACAGUGUCAGUGUUACGACUAAAGCUCGUCCUCUCUGUGUCUCCAUCAUGGUUGAUUCCUGGAGCUUCAGUCACUCUGAUCUGUCACACUGAACCUCCGUCAGCAGGGUGGAGCUUCUACUGGUUCAAAGCUGUUCCAAACUCUCAGGAUUCCUACACCUAUGAGCCUCUACCUGGUACCAGCAGUGGGACAGCAAACAAUUCCUUCACAGUUCAUGGACAGACACACACAGCAGGAUAUGCAUGUUCAGCUGGACGAGGGGAUCCGCUGAUUUACACACAAUACAGUCGUCCCACAUUUGUCUGGUCUUCAGGUGUUCAUCCAUCAGCGUCUCUCACAGUGAAUCCUGACAGAGUCCAACACUUCACCUCUGAAUCUCUCUCACUGACAUGUGAAGGAAACUCUUCCCAGUGGAGGCUGAUCCAGUUUCUGACUGACGACUCGCUGUUGAGCUUUCUUCCUCCAGCUACAAUCAAUGGAUCAACAUAUAUUAAGAAUGAGGCUCCAAGAAAAGCUGUGUACUGGUGUGAGUCUGGAACAGAGUUCAGCAAUGCAGUCAAUAUCUCCACACACUCUGAUGGCGUUAUCCUGGUGAGCCCUGUGUAUCCUGUACCUGUGGGAGAGUCUGUAACUCUCCUCUGUGUCAUGAAGACUGGAAAUAUUUCCUCUGAUGUGUUUUUCUACAAAAAUAACAAACUCAUUGGAAAUGCGACACGAGGAGAGAUGAAGAUCUCUGCAGUGUCAGAAUCAGAUGAAGGUUUCUACAAGUGUCAGUACAAUGGAAGAGAAUCAGCACAAAGCUGGAUGGCUG